rnacentral:rRNA from 1 species
UACGGAGGAUGCAAGCGUUAUCCGGAUUUAUUGGGUUUAAAGGGUGCGUAGGCGGAAUGAUAAGUCAGUGGUGAAAUCCUGCAGCUUAACUGCAGAACUGCCAUUGAUACUGUCAAUCUUGAGUACAUUUGAUGAGGGCGGAAUGUGUCAUGUAGCGGUGAAAUGCUUAGAUAUGACACAGAACACCGAUUGCGUAGGCAGCUCUCAAAACUGUAACUGACGCUGAGGCACGAAAGCGUGGGUAUCAAACAGG